AAGGCGGGCUUGGGGAUCCGGCGGGCGGGGCGAGGUCGCUCCGUGCCGCCCACGCCGGAUGCACAGCCGGCCUUCUCCGCGCCCACGUACCCACGUGAGAGCCCAGCCGGCGACAUUCUUACUCCCACCCCCUUCCCCUCCGAGCGGAGAGCGGAAUUUCACAACCACGCACAGGUUUGUGAGCCCCUCUGUGUGGAUUUAAAAAUAUGUACAUUUAAAAAAUCAUUGACUUGUCAAGCCCCACCAGAGGCCGAGACGCCCCCGCAGCCGGAGCUGCUGAGAUGUCUGUUCUUCGCUUCCCUCCCACUCCUACCACCUCCAACUCCCCUCCUACUCCCUUCCGUUGACAACAAGGAAUUUCCAGCCUUUAGCAAAUGGAGAGAAACAAAGAGACCAAGACUAUGAGAAACUACGGAAAAACAAUAAAGAUAAGAGACAGGUGGGGGAGAGGCUGACAAAAAGGGGGUGCGGCAAAUUAAAAACCUUAAUUUCUUCUU